rnacentral:rRNA from 1 species
CUGCACGACAGUGCGAUAGGGGGAUCCCAAGUGCACAGGCAUAGCGCCUGUGCUUUUCGGCACCCUAAGGCGGUGCCAGAAUAAGGGCUGGGCAAGACCGGUGCCAGCCGCCGCGGUAAUACCGGCAGCCCAAGUGAUGGCCGAUCUUAUUGGGCCUSCGCAAAGCGUCCGUAGCUGGCCGCGCAAGUCCAUCGGGSCGCAAAUCCACCUGCUCAACAGGUGGGCGCCCGGUAGSCGCAAACUGCGUGGCUUGGGACCGGAAGGCGCGACGGGUACGUCCGGGGUAGGAGUGSCGCAAAUCCCGUAAUCCUGGACGGACCGCCGAUGGCGSCGCAAAGCACGUCGCGAGAACGGAUCCGACAGUGAGGGACGSCGCAAAGCCAGGGUCUCGAACCGGAUUAGAUACCCGGGUAGUCCUGGCCGUSCGCAAACAAUGUCUGCUAGGUGUGGCUCCCACUACGAGUGGGUGCUGUGCCGUAGGGAAGCCGCUAAGCAGACCGCCUGGGAAGUACGU